CUACGGGGGGCUCCAGUGGGGAAUAUUGCACAAUGGGCGCAAGCCUGAUGCAGCCAUGCCGCGUGUAUGAAGAAGGCCUUCGGGUUGUAAAGUACUUUCAGCGGGGAGGAAGGGAGUAAAGUUAAUACCUUUGCUCAUUGACGUUACCCGCAGAAGAAGCACCGGCUAACUCCGUGCCAGCAGCCGCGGUAAUACGGAGGGUGCAAGCGGUUAAUCGGAAUUACUGGGCGUAAAGCGCACGCAGGCGGUUUGUUAAGUCAGAUGUGAAAUCCCCGGGCUCAACCUGGGAACUGCAUCGGAUACUGGCAAGCUUGAGUCUCGUAGAGGGGGGUAGAAUUCCAGGUGUAGCGGUGAAAUGCGUAGAGAUCUGGAGGAAUACCGGUGGCGAAGGCGGCCCCCUGGACGAAGACUGACGCUCAGGUGCGAAAGCGUGGGGAGCAAACAGGAUUAGAUACCCGCGUAGUC
rnacentral:rRNA from 1 species